GCUGUCAUAGCUUAGCGGAAGAGCACUUUGGCAUAAGAUGCAAAGCAACAUUGGCGAUACACACCGUCUAUGGCCCUGUGCCUAGCCAGCCAGAAGCUAAUGCGGUGCGGGCGUUGGUUCAAAUCCAACUGGCAGCUCCA
rnacentral:tRNA from 1 species